CCAACCACACGUCAGUGGAAUUCCAUUGGAUGAUGUCGUACUCUCAAAAGAAGGACCUUCGACUACGCCGUAUAAAGAAAACAAGAACCCAGAUAUUUGUGGUCGACAUAGGUACGCCAGUUAAAAGAUCUACAGAUGUUUACACAAGAGACACAUUUUAUGUAACCGUUAUUUACGAUACAGUAUUAUGUACCGAUAUAGAUUUUUAUUAAGAUUUGACAUCAUUGUUUACGUUUUUUAAAUAUAAGUACUUUUUUUGAUAUUACGUAAUGAAGAUUAACUAUCUAAAUAUAUAAUUUCGAUACAA